rnacentral:lncRNA from 1 species
CUUACACAACGCUCUCAUGGAGGCACAGAGACGGUCUCUGCAGCUGUGUUUCUGGGAUGAGAAGAAGGAUCUGUUGAUUGUUGAUUAAUUAGGCAAACCAACAUGGAGUCCUGCAUCAGAAAGAAAUGGCUGCAGGUGGUGGAGCUGAGGAAGUAAACGAGAUCGCCCAGGAGGAGUGUGGCCAGUGGUCAGGGAGUGGACUCGGAUUAGCACAGGUUCCAUGUGCACAGGGACCUCGUCUGUCUUUGUGGCUGCGUCGGCUGCACUGAGUGCAUUGUGCCCACAUCCACUGCAGAGGAGGAGGAAUGGACAAAAGGUGAAGUCACUGCAAACACUGAGUACAGGAAGAAAGCUGAGGCUUGUCUUCAUCUUGCAAGAUGUCUGGGCACCUAAUGCUUCGGAAGACGUUGGUUCUCAGAAGGUCAUGCCGGCAUCCAGGGGCAAAAUCUGGGUCUGCUUGACCGAGGACCCCGCAAAUCCCAGAGCAGGCCUGAACCGGGAUUCUCUGGAAGUGUAAGUGCUGCACUGUGAACCCGGGAGGCAUUCACUAAAUAUUGUGGAAGAUGACGUGAGUGGAGCCACAUUAAAAUAGAGCCAGAGCAGCCACUUUGGAGGCAUUGCCUUGCACAUCUUGUUUUCCCUAUCUUCCAAACUGGACCAAAAUGCCAACAUUCCAAGAAGUCAGUAAGGACAAGAAUAUCCUGUCUGUAAGGACUGAUGAAACUAGACUUUUCUGAUGACUGCAUUGCUAACCAAUCAGUGAAGUACAAGUCUAGCGUUUGCCUGAAGAUCGACCUCAGGUCAAUCUAAGAAGUCGAAAUCCAGCCUCACCUUACCCAACACCAACACACUCUUCUUUAAUACAGCUCACUUCAUCCUCCCCCUUUGCCAUAAAAACCCUAAGCUCUUCUCCUAUAAUCAGG